rnacentral:rRNA from 1 species
AGAGUUUGAUCCUGGCUCAGAACGAACGCUGGCGGCAGGCUUAACACAUGCAAGUCGAGCGCCCCGCAAGGGGAGCGGCAGACGGGUGAGUAACGCGUGGGAACCUACCCAAUUCUACGGAACAACUGAGGGAAACUUCAGCUAAUACCGUAUACGCCCUACGGGGGAAAGAUUUAUCGGAAUUGGAUGGGCCCGCGUUGGAUUAGCUAGUUGGUGAGGUAAUGGCUCACCAAGGCGACGAUCCAUAGCUGGUCUGAGAGGAUGAUCAGCCACGCUGGGACUGAGACACGGCCCAGACUCCUACGGGAGGCAGCAGUGGGGAAUAUUGGACAAUGGGCGAAAGCCUGAUCCAGCCAUGCCGCGUGAGUGAUGAAGGCCUUAGGGUUGUAAAGCUCUUUCAGUGGGGAAGAUAAUGACGGUACCCACAGAAGAAGCCCCGGCUAACUUCGUGCCAGCAGCCGCGGUAAUACGAAGGGGGCUAGCGUUGUUCGGAUUUACUGGGCGUAAAGCGCACGUAGGCGGAU